rnacentral:rRNA from 1 species
AUUGAACGCUGGCGGCAGGCCUAACACAUGCAAGUCGAACGGUAGCACAGAGAGCUCGCUCUCGGGUGACGAGUGGCGGACGGGUGAGUAAUGUCUGGGAAACUGCCCGAUGGAGGGGGAUAACUACUGGAAACGGUAGCUAAUACCGCAUAACGUCGCAAGACCAAAGUGGGGGACCUUCGGGCCUCACACCAUCGGAUGUGCCCGGAUGGGAUUAGCUAGUAGGUGGGGUAAUGGCUCACCUAGGCGACGAUCCCUAGCUGGUCUGAGAGGAGGACCAGCAACACUGGAACUGAGACACGGUCCAGACUCCUACGGGAGGCAGCAGUGGGGAAUAUUGCACAAUGGGCGCAAGCCUGAUGCAGCCAUGCCGCGUGUAUGAAGAAGGCCUUCGGGUUGUAAAGUACUUUCAGCGGGGAGGAAGGCGGUGAAGUUAAUAACUUCACCGAUUGACGUUACCCGCAGAAGAAGCACCGGCUAACUCCGUGCCAGCAGCCGCCGUAA